GUGUACCUUGUCUUGUGGCUGCAAGGUUGUGUUGUGGCUCCUUUGCUAAGCAUUUUUAACCAUUUCAAAGUACUUGUGGUUCAUCUGUCUUGAGCAACGGACAUUCCUGAGACAAAAGGUCAAUCUCAAGAAGAUUCGCUUUAAAGUUGACGUUUUGCCUUCCAUUUAGUUUAGCCGCGCUUGCUAACAAAGAGUGCGGAAAUGUGCACAAGGAGGACUGCGGCGGCCAAUUUCCAUCUUCUGCAGGCUCCACUUGGAGGAAUCCGUGAGCGGCAGGAGUACUCACUAAUCAAAGAAGAAGCAGAUGAUGAACAAAUCGAAGAGAAAGAGGACUUGCUCUCAGCUUAUGUCAAACAAGAGGAUGACGACCAGCCCACGUACAUCAAAGAGGAAGAGGAGGAACAAGAUAUCAACAAAUUAUUCAUGACGGACGGCGAGGAUGAUGGUCCGAGCGAGGCCGGUGGAGGGUCUGAGCCUCCCGACGGCAGUGACGGCUCCACAGAGGGAUCCCAAGAGAACGGCCUAAUCGCCCCGCUAACAGAUAGUGACGAUGCCAUAGACGACGACGAAGACUUUGAAGGUCACUUGGCAGGUCAAAGCAAAAAAAAACUCUGGAAAUGUUCUCAGUGUGAGAAAACUUUUGCUUUCGAGUGGAGUUUGAAACGACACGUGAGAUUGCACAAGAGACAGAAACUUUUUGUGUGCACAAUUUGCGAUAAAACCUUUAUAAUAAGUAGUUUGAAAGAUCUUGCGAGGAUGCACUCUGGAGAAAAACCUUUUGUCUGCUCGGUUUGUAUCCGACGUUUCUCUUUAAACAGCAGCUUAAGUCAGCACACAUUAACUUACAGUACCAAGAAACCUUAUUCCUGCGCUCUUUGUGAUGAAAAAUUCACUCAUACAAGUAAUUUGAUAGCUCACACAAGAACGCACAAUGGUGACAAACCUCUUCCCUCCUCCGUUUCAGGUCAGUGUUUCUCUCUAAAUAGUUGUUCAAGUCAACAAACGCUCACGCAGAGUGUUGAGAAACCUUAUUCCUGCUCUUUUUGCGGUCAAAAAUUCACGCAAAAAAGUAAUUUGAAAGCACACACGAGAACGCACACUGGCGACAAACCUUUCGCCUGCUCAGUUUGCGGUCAAAAAUUCACUCAAAAGAGUAACUUGGUGACGCACACGAGAACGCACACUGGCGACAAACCUUUCGCCUGCUCCGUUUGCAGUCAAAAAUUUAGCCAAAAAAGUCAUUUGAAAGCACACACAAGAACACACACCGGCGACAAACCUUUCGCCUGCUCAUUUUGUGGUUUGCGUUUCUCUCUCAGUAGUAAUUUGUCAGCCCACACGAGGACGCACACCGGCGAGAAACCUUAUGCCUGCUUAGUUUGCGGCCAACGAUUCACAGAUGGUAGAAACUUAAAAACUCAUGAGAGACGACACACUGGCGAGAAACCUUAUUUAUGUUCGGUUUGCGGCCAGCGAUUUGCUCAAAAGGGAAGUUUAAAUACUCACGCCAGAAAGCACACAGGUGAGAAACCAUUCGCCUGCUCAGAGUGCGAUCAAAGAUUCUCUUGGAGGGGGAGUUUAAAAAUACACGCGAGGACCCACAUUCGGGGGCGUAGAACCAAAUUCACAGCUAAUGAGAUGGGUGAGCAGAAAAAAAAGAAGAAGAAAAAAGGUAAACGUAGAAAUUACAUACUUAACCUCCGGAAAGGAAAACUCAACAGCCCGCCAGCUGUACAAUUGCAAAACUGCACAUCCAGUACAGGUCAAAAAAAGCUGCGAACAGUAGCAAUAAAUGGUAGCAAUAAAUGAUAAUAAUUAAAAGUUGAACUUAGUUACUUGUUGUAGUAUUAUAGAAGCAGGAGCAACAGAUUUCCAGAAUUGCUCCAUUCUGCAGCACACAGAGCGCUUAAAUGUCGGCAGUAUUGUUAUUAUUAAUAUUAUAUUUUUAUACGGUCACUUCCUUUUCAUUGUCCACUUCUUAGUGAUUUUGGAGCAUUCCCUGUACAUUUUGGGGCAUUUCCUUGCCCCAGUUACCAAAUGCCCCAAUUUUGGGACAAUUUGAGGAAGUUUUUGGGUCAAAAGUAUUGACCACCAAUUAUUUAUUUUUUUGCACCAUUAACUCAUUGCCUGCCAUUGAUUUUGCUUGACGUCGUCCAAACUAUGUGUUCAUUUACCCCUCCAAGUCUAAAUGGAUUGGACAUUUAAUGCCGUCAAUGGCAGCCAAUUAGUCAAGGAACACGAAUGUGAUGGUCAUGAUUGACAUGAUCAUGGACCUAAGCACAAAAUCAGUUAGCACUAAGGUGAACUACAGUUCCUCAAUGAAAUAAAUAAUUCUUGAAAUAAAUAAAAAAUGAAAUCAAUAGAAUGUUAAAUAAGCAUUGAUUUAAAUAAAUACAUAAGUAUAUAUUUAUAAAUAUCGAAACAUAAGCAUUUAAUUACACAUUUCAUUAUAUAUAUGCAAUAAAGUUUUAAUGUGUGAGUGAUGAUUGGUAAAGUAAACAAGUUAAUAAAAUGACAACUUUUCAGCGAAUCACUUCAUUGACUGUGAAGCAAAUGCAUACAUAUACACAUAUUAAAACAGUAUUUGACGCAAACCGAUCAAUCAGGCAAACUAAUGUUUUUGUUUUCUCCUAUUUCGUCUGCCAUACAAUAUAAGUUAACCAAAAUGGCCGAAACGUAGCACACGCGCAGAACGGAUAGAGCAAAAACUACUACUUGCUCAUGGAUAUCCGAUAUAUAAUGCUAGAUGUCUAAACGUGGUGUCGGUGGCGUAAGUCAUUGGCGGCCAUUUUGCGUCAAGGGGCUGCGUUGUAGGCUGAUUGUAAAAAAAAAAAAAAAAAAACGUCGUUAAAUCAUUGCAUUUUUACAUGUAUGACAAACCAUGCCGAUUGAAAAGAAUUCAAAAUUGAGUGAUAUAUAAUUAUUGUGAAGUACACGCUUCUUUGACAAUAAUGUACAGUAGUUAUCAAAUGACAAGUGACAACGCUCGUCAUGUGCUGACAGCGUGCAUUGUUACAUCUAGUUUCAUACAGCUAUGAUAUCUGUAGUCCUUACUUAGCUUAGCAUGGCAUAGCUCGCUACAGAGAAUAAACAACACGUCGCCAAUCAAGGUGCAAAAUGUCCGCCGGAUGGAAUACAGCAGCUGUGAAGAUUGAAAAGGAACUUGGUGGAGCCAAAGACGAGUCACGACGUCAAAUACUUCGGACACCUUGCGAAAAGAGGCUUCUGCUUGCAGACGUCAGUGAACCUCUUCUACUGUUCUCUUCUGUUAAAGAAGAACAUGGCCCCCAAAUGGAAGCGAUAAAGGCAGAGGAGUGCACUUAUUUAAAAAAAGAAGAGCAUUCGGACCCUCCUGUGGACAUUAAACUGGACAUUAAAACGGAAGACGAGCCGACACGCAUCAAAGAGGACGAAGAGGAGGAGGAAAUCAACAAGUUGACUUCUAAGAGGAAUGAUGAAUGUCCUAUUAAAGCCAGCAGAGGGACACAGCCUCCGAGCGGCGACAGCCUACUGGCUCCGCUAUCAGAUAGCAAUGACGCCGCCGCACGCUCGUCUCGCGUUGCUGAUGAUGAACAAUCUGAAGGCUAUAAGACAGCUCAGAGUGCCAACAUACUUUGUAAAAAUUCUUGCAACGGGCCUAAUUUUGCUUUGAAGUGGGAUUUGACGCAACGCAUGACAAUCUACACUGGCGAGAAAUCGUUUGCAUGCUCCGUUUGCGGUCAAAUAUUUGUUCUGAAGCAGAGUUUGAAAAGACACACAAGAACACACACCGGUGACAAACCUUUCUCCUGUUCAGUUUGCGGUCAAACAUUUGGUCAAAAGUCCUCUUUGGUGUGUCACACAAGAAUACACACAGGUGAGAAACCUUUUUCCUGCUCAGUUUGUGUUUUAAGCUUCUCCAGAAAGUCAAGUUUAACAACUCACACAAGAAAGCACACAGGUGAGAAACCCUUUGUCUGCUCAGUUUGUGGUCAAAGCUUCUCUGAAAACGGAAGCCUGAGAAAACACGCAAGGAGACACUCGGGGGAGAAACAUUUUGCCUGCUCACUUUGUGAUAAGAGAUUUUCCGAUCAGGGACAUUUGAGAAGACAUGCAAGAACGCACACUGGCGACAAACCAUAUGCCUGUUCAAUUUGUGAUCAAAAAUUCACCGAAAAUGCAUCUUUGACAAAGCACGCGACAACCCACACCGGCGAGAAACCUUUUGCUUGCUUAAUUUGUGGCCAAAGAUUUUCUCAGAAAGGAAACUUGAUAAGACACACAAGAACACACACUGGUGAGAAACCUUUCAACUGCUUAGUUUGUGCUCAGAGUUUCUCCGACAAGGGAAAUUUACGAAUUCAUGCAAGAACACAUACUGGUGAGAAACCUUUUACCUGCUCAGGUUGUGGACAAAAAUUCUCUUGGAAACAUCAGGUGAAGCGACACAAAUGUGCUGGCAAUACAAGAGUGAUCAUUGAAGCUUUAAGUGAACAGAACGCACCUUUUUUGUCCGCGACAAGCAAAUCAUUAGAUAUUAGAUGACAGUGAUGAACUGAAAAAGUGUAUAUGUGAAUAAAAUACGAACAGCAGUGAGUUAUAUCAUUGAUUGUCCAAAAGCCACCAUUGCGGAUUGGAGUCAGUAUUCGAUCGACAAUGUACGUUGACCAAUUUACAUGUUCACAUUUACAGUAUAAGAAAAAAACAGUUGAAGACUGUAAUUUACUUAUUUACACCUCAUAUGUACCAUGAUUCAUGACAGCAUAAAUGUUCCAUAAAUCUGCUUUUUAAUACAGAAAAAGAUGAUGGACACAACUUUAUCAAAUGCAGUCCAGUGUCCACUGCAUGUGGUGAGUUCACUAUUAUAACAAGAAUUAUAAAGUGUUUAAGCAACAUUUGUCAAGACUUAUACCUCCUACCUCUUAGUAUUCUUUGUUUCUUCAACAACAGUUUUCCAAGAAUUCUACUUGGUUAUUUGGCUUUCUUCCAUUUGUAUUUGUCACUUUUCCUGACCUGCCAGGGACUGCAGAUGAAAAGAAGCAUUUGGUCAAUUCUGGCAUAUUUACAUCUGGAUGUUCAUUAAUAUUCACUGUCCCUUUUAAAAAAAAUUUAAUCUAUUUAAUGUUUGUAAAAGCGGUAUUUUAGCAUUCAGAUGUGCUCAUUUAUAGAGAGCUAGAAACGAGAAGUCGGCGGUGUUAGCGUCCGAUAGUCAUCUUAAUUCUUAACCCCUUCAGACCGGCAUUUUUUCUGCUGGGCAAAAAAAAAACCAAAAAAAAAACUGCUGAUUUUUACUCUACUCAAACACCAGAACAAAUUGCAGUUUUUUGGUAGGGGAUAUUUCCUGCUUUUAUUGGUUAUUUUCAAUAUUAAUGUGUUUUUGAUAAGAAAUGAGCAUUUAGGUUUGCCUUUUUGAUAUUGUGUUUUGUCUCAGCCAUUUUAAAGAGCCAAAAAUAGCAAAGAGGGCGUGCUAAACAUCAUGAUUUCAUGUCGAUGGAGAAAAGUUCAUCUCCCAGAAGUGUCAUAGCAACUAAAUUCAGUUUAUUUAUUGGUUUAGAAACGCAAACGCGUCAUGUCCUUCAGCAGCAUGCUCAGAUCUGAAAGGGUUAAAGCAGUUGACUUGACAGGUGGGUUCUGUUUUAGAGAACCUAAGGAGAGUGACUUUCUCCACUAAAAUACUUGGUGAAAUCUUGAGGGACGUUCAAAUGGUUUGGUUUAUAGUAAACCAUAGUAACGUGGCUACGAUUCAAAUUGGAUGUUGAAAAAAAAUUAUAAAAUAAUUGCUAAGUAUGUAGUUAAUUUACUGCAUCUCUGACGUUUGUGAUAAAACAAGCUGGUUGAAAAUUGAGCAAUUUAUGGCGAUUUAGGCUAUAACGUUAUGUUCAUGGAAUGUCACUGACACCAGACGGCCAAAAUUAAAUAACUGCCGCCCUUUUUUGAAUGGCAUAUAGCUCUCUCUCUCUACAUAGAUAGAUAUCUAUAAGUAUGUGACUUUUUUUUCACACAAUAUAAUACGUUCAGGACAAAAAUGUGGACAAAAUUUUUUCAAACGCCACACUUAAAAAGUCACACAAGGAGGCACACUGGCGAAAAAACCUUUAUCUUGCGCAGUUUGCGGUCAAAGAUUCAGUCAAGAAAUGAAUUUCAUAUUGCGUAUCAGAACGCACACUGGUGAGAAACCCUUCCUCUGCUCAAAUUGUGGUCAAAGAACUUGAAAUGAUACAUGAGAAGUCACACUGGAGAGAAACUUUUCUCCUGCUUCCUUUGUGUUAAAAGGUUCUCUCACAAGAACUUCAUUAAAGAAACACACUGCAAGCCACAUUGGUGAGAAACCUUUCCCUGUCCAGUUUGUGGUGAAAAGUUCUUUCGAGUGUAUCAGGUAAAGAGACACGUUUUUAAUCUUCACAGGCACUUGUGGACAAAUGUUGGGAACCAGGACUAUUGAUAAAAGUUGGCUAAACGUAAAAAUGGUGUCCACCGAGUUUGUGUACUAAUGAGGAAAUUACUCAAUUUUUUAUAUAUAUAUGUAUACAUAAUUGUGUAAGGAGGACCCUGAGGAGAUAUCAUGGAAGAAACAAGCCCUUGUAUGGUGUGUACCACCGACAAAUUGAUGGGGUAGCUGACAUGGGGAAAACAUACCAAUGGCUGGAAAAGGCCGGACUGAAAGACUGCACGGAGGCACUGAUCAUGGCAGCACAAGAGCAGGCCCUAAACACAAGAUCAAUAGGGGUCUAUCACACCAGACAGGACCCUGGUGCAGGCUAUUCAAAGACAGUCAGCCUGAGACAGUCCAGCACAUCACAGCAGGGUGUAAGAUGCAAGGCAAGGCAUACAGUACAUGGAACGACAUAACCAGGUAGCAUUGUACAACAUAGUGCACAGGAACAUCUGUGCUAAGUACGGACUGGAGACCCCGGAGUCAAAGUGGGCGACACCUCCAAAGGUGGUCGAGAACAACCGAGCCAAGAUGGCCAACCAGCCUGACAUAGUGGUGGUGGAUAAACAUCAGAAGACAGCAGUAGUGAAAGAUGUAGCAAUCCCGAGCGAUAGCAACAUCAGCAAAAAGGAACACGAAAUGCUGGAGAAAUAUCAAGGGUUGAAGGAAGAGUUGGAGAAAAUGUGGGGAGUGAAGGCAACAGUGGUGCCAGUAGUGAUCGGGACACUAUAGGGGCAGUAACCCCCAAGCUGGGUGCAUGGCUCCAACAGAUACCAGGAACGACGACCGACAUCUCCGUUCAAAAGAGCGCAAUCCUAGGGACAGCGAAGAUCCUGUGCAGAACCCUCAAGCUUCCAGGCCUCUGGUAGAGGACCCGAGCUUGAGAGGAGAGACCAUACAGCCCGGGUGGGUGAGACAACGAUUUUUUUUUUUUAAUGAGAGUGCAAUCCUAGGGACAGCUAAGAUCCUGCGCAGAACCCUCAAGCUCCCAGGCCUCUGGUAGAGAACCCGAGCUUGAGAGGAGAGACCAUACCGCCCGGGUGGACGAGACAACGAUUUUUAUAAUUUGUCCGAUAUGCAUGUGUGAUACAUCAUUGGAAAGCUUAAAAUCUCUAUUUUCUGGGGGAAGAAAAAUUUUGAACAGGAUGGCAUUUUUGAAAAAAAAAACAUUUGUUUUUAAACAGCAAAAACCUAUCUAGAGGUGAGAGCAUGCGAAAGCAGAAUUACAGACGCCAUGACUUUAACGAGAUACUAUCGCAGACUUACCUUGUUUCGAUACAAAAACUCCAUGAAGCAUGUACGUAUCACCGAGUGUGAUACAUAAAAGGCUAAAAGUCUCCCGACAUCCCAAUCAAAGUCAUUGAGGCAUCCGUCACAUGUCGUCGUCUUCGUCUGCGUCCUAAGAGGAACCGGCCUGUUGAGCGGCGGCGGAGCUGGCCGCCGCCAUCUGUGUGAAUGGCCACAGCCGGAUUUUUGGGGGAUUUUAUGGGUGAAACAUGGUAAUAUAAUAAGGGUCACGAUGCAGAAAUCGCAGACAUCAAGGACUGGUCGAGAUUUUCUUUUUCAUAUAUUUACCCUUAUAAACGUUUUUUUCCCCAAUUUUCCUUUGUUGGAUCGAUUAUUUAUCAUCUAACAUAUCGGAGAAAAUGCGACAGUAACAAAAAAAAAAAAAAAAAAAAACAUUUAAGCGAUCGUUAUGAGGUAGAUAUCCGUGACUUUUUUACAGACUUUUACAGGCACCAUUUUUUUCAUUGUGACGUAAUUUUGUUUAAAAGUUUAAAACAUGCGAGUGAAUAAUUUUUUAAAGUCAUUUUGGUUUUUUUUAUAAGAAAUAUUAGACAUCAUUUAAUGAUUCUAAGCUAAAAUUGACAUACAUUUUAAUUAAUAAUAUCAAUUAAUUCCUUCAUUUUAUGGCUGGGUUGAAACAAAAGCGGUUGCGCGACGUCUGUAAGUGGGUGUUUCCAGGGUAAAACAGACAAAUUAAAAAUAGUUCAGGGGCUUAAUGUGCCAUGAAUCUGCUUUGGCAGCAUAUAGACAUAUUGUUCUGUAAAACACAACAGUUGGUUUGGCCUAAAAUACAGCAUUUUAUUUUAAAGAGGGGUGCAAGAGCAGAAACUGCUUUUUCAGGCUUGUUUGUGUUUUCCGCCAUAUGUAUAUGUUAUGUUUGAUAAUGUAUCAUUUUUUUGUGUGUCAAUAAAAGUUUUGCUUGUGAUAUAUUUUUGAGGGGGGGUUGUUGACUGUAUCUUUGGAUCACAAUAUUUUUGCCUUUGUUUAGUUUUUACCACUUGUUUGCUGUUUUUAAUGCACUUGUAAAUGAUAGGGUUAUC